rnacentral:rRNA from 1 species
AGGAUAGUACGCAAGAGGCCGCUCUCCAUCUUCACAGCUGCCCCGCAGGCGAUCUGGAAGGGGGCUCUGUUUCUGAAUGGUACUGCUGUGGUACAACUCAAUAGGAAUUGGAGAGGGAAUGUAUGAAGCCACCGCCUACUCUACGUGCCUAGCAGCCAGCGGUAAUACGUAGGUGGCGAGCGUUGUCCGGAAUUAUUGGGCGUCAAAGGGUGCGUAGGUGGCCUUUUAAGUAGGGGCGUGCAAAUCCCCAGGCUUAACCCGGGAGCUGCGCCUCCUAAACUGGAAAGCUACGAGCAGCACGGCCGAGGAAAGUGCAAUUCCAAGUGUAAAUCGGUGAAAUGCGUACAGAUUUGGAGGAACACCAGCUGGCGAAGGCGACUUUCUGGACUGUAACUGACACUGUAGGCACGACAAGGUGCGGGAGCCAUAACAUGGAUUAGUAUACCUUGGGUAGUCCACGCCGCUAAACCCAUGGCGUACUAUGGUUGUAGGCGGCCGAUCCAUAACUUCUUCCGGCCGCCGCUCUUACCCCCUCUAUAUUAACACUCCUCUCCUGCU